AUGAAAAAAGUAUACAAAUAAAGAUAUAUAUAUAUAUAUAUAUACAUACACACACAUAUAUCUUAUUUUUUCUUGAUAUACAGUGUACCAGUGAAAAUGAAACGUGCAUAAUUUCAGGUAGUUAACUUUUUGUACCUAUGAGGGUUGUCAUAGUAUAGACAAGUGAUGUUUCGCAAUAUGCAUUUU